AUUGAACGCUGGCGGCAGGCCUAACACAUGCAAGUCGAGCGAGCGGCGGACGGGUGAGUAAUGUAUGGGGACUGCCCGAUAGAGGGGGAUAACUACUGGAAACGGUGGGUAAUACCGCAUACUAUCGGAUAACCCAUAUGGGAUUAGCUAGUAGGUAAGGUAAUGGAUUACCUAGGCGACGAUCCCUAGCUGGGCUGAGAGGAUGAUCCGCCACACGGGGACUGAGACACGGCCCAGACUCCUACGGAGGCAGCAGUGGGGAAGAUUGCACAAUGGGCGCAAGCCUGAUGCAGCCAUGCCGCGUGUAUGAAGAAGGCCCUAGGGUUGUAAAGUACUUUCAGUCGGGAGGCGUUACCGACAGAAGAAGCACCGGCUAACUCCGUGCCAGCAGCCGCGGUAAUUC
rnacentral:rRNA from 1 species